UACGGAGGGGGGCUAGCGUUGUUCGGAAUUACUGGGCGUAAAGCGCACGUAGGCGGCUUUGCAAGUUAGAGGUGAAAGCCCGGGGCUCAACUCCGGAAUUGCCCUUUAAAACUGCAUCGCUAGAAUUGUGGAGAGGUAAGUGGAAUUCCGAGUGUAGAGGUGAAAUUCGUAGAUAUUCGGAAGAACACCAGUGGCGAAGCGACUUACUGGACACAUAUUGACGCUGAGGUGCGAAAGCGUGGGGAGCAAACAGG
rnacentral:rRNA from 1 species